CCAAAGUGGAGAAGAUCAGAAUCUCGAGCCUGAGAUGAUCCAGGAAACCGCUUAGCAGAUAUAAUUGUUGAUGAUGAGCUGCUUUAUGAAAGGAUAGAAGAUGUACAUGACCAUCAGAGAAUUACGUCGACAAGAGUGGUGGUGAUAUGGAAAUGCAUAUGAGAUGAAAGCAAUAUAGGGAUGAGAACGCUGUUGGAGAAUCGAUUUGGGAUUUAAGAGGACGUUGG
rnacentral:lncRNA from 1 species